AGUGUGGUGGCCUAGUAGUUUAGGCAUUAAAGUAUGACUCUGGAGACCAGGGUUCAAAUCCCAGCUUGGCCA